UAAGCAGUGAGCGACUUGUUUGGCGUCCACCAGCAUGAGUGAAAACAGCUCCAGUUAGGCGGUGUAAAGUGUACCAGGGUUUAACUUGGCUCCUUAUGCCAUGACACCUAGUAUGCAGCGACAGGAAGGAGCAGCCAUUAACCAGACGAGGGCAGUGGCGCAACUGACCAGAGCGUAACGCCUCAAGACAACCGCUCUUCAGCUAGCUGAGGAAGUGCAGAGGAGAUCUGCUGCAGGCGAGUCUCUCUAUUCGCCGUUGACUCCAUCGAAUCAGCGGCCGAUGCAUAUUAAUCUGUGGGUGAUUUCACUACUGGAGCAAGGCUUUUCCGCUUUCAAUUAAUUUUUUUUCCAGAUAUUUCCUGUCCUCCUUUUAGCUUAAAUUUCUAGCAUUAUGUCAUUGCACACAAACUUUGCACCCUGCUGUUUGGCUGUUCUUUUCCAUAAGCUAAGAGUAAUUUAUGCCGCGAUCAUCCAUUGUAAAAAUCAGUCAUAAAAAUGUCAAUUUGCCGAUAGCCAACAGGAGAUUUUAUGGCUUUAUCAGCCAGAUAUGGCUCUUUGAGUGAUCAGUUGAGGCAAUCCCUUGUUUUAGUUUAUAACAAGGGAAUUAAUUAUUCUGCAGGUCCUAAGGAAAAUGGCUCCCAUGAGAACGUCGUAGGAAGAGUUUGGUUUGUCUAAGCAGCCUCAGGACUGUGUCCUUUCAGAAAUAGGAUACACAGCGCUCACAGAAGGUCUUGGGAGGCUUGCUUAAUUCUAUUAAAUGUUGCACAUUUAUUGGUUUCAUAAUAAAAGUCCAUUGACAGACAACAUUUAACAUAUGUGCAUAUAUAUUCAGCACAGACAUUCUCUUUUUAAUAAGUGUCAUUUUCUUGACUGACUCAUUCACUUCUAUUCUUGUCAUUGCUAUUAAAUGCAAUUGUAGUCAUUGACUCCCAAAGGGAUACUAAAAAUAAAUGUUUGGUGUUUUAUAUUAUUACAGACGUCUUACUAAUUAAAAAGACUUUGUCAAUGAACUUGUAACUCAAAUCUUUUAGAACUAUAUAAUUUGGGUUUCAGUGUGUUACAUGAAUGUUUUACUUAAAACUACUGGUUGAUUCUAAUGUGAGAUAUAUUGUAAAACAAAUGAAUAAA